rnacentral:rRNA from 1 species
UAGAGUUUGAUCAUGGCUCAGGACGAACGCUGGCGGCGCGCUUAACACAUGCAAGUCGAGCGAGAACCGGUCCUUCGGGACCGGGGAAAGCGGCGAACGGGUGAGUAACACGUGGGCAACCCACCCUUGGUACUGGGAUAGCCCGGGGAAACCCGGAUUAAUACCGGAUGGCCCAGCAGCUCUUCGGGGCGGCUGGAAAAGGGAGCUUCGGCCUCCGACCAAGGACGGGCCCGCGGCGGAUUAGCUUGUUGGUGGGGUAACGGCCCACCAAGGCGACGAUCCGUAGCUGGUCUGAGAGGACGAUCAGCCACACUGGGACUGAGACACGGCCCAGACUCCUACGGGAGGCAGCAGUGGGGAAUCUUGCGCAAUGGGCAAAAGCCUGACGCAGCGACGCCGCGUGGGGGAAGAAGGCUCUCGGGUUGUAAACCCCUUUCAGGAAGGACGAAGCUCCUCGGGUGAAUAGCCCAGAGGGUGACGGUACUUCCAGAAGAAGCCCCGGCUAACUACGUGCCAGCAGCCGCGGUAAUCCCAAUCGC